CAGACCACGAAGGACGCAGCGUCUGAGAGGAGUCCCUCCACCCCCAACCACCCUGGGCAUCAUCACACCAUCAGCCAGCCCGAGGCUCACCCAAUCUGUCGGCCACGGAUCCAAGGCAGGAAGAAGACUAGUGUCCCAAAGACAGUCAACUGUGGGUGACACCACUCCAACCACAGCUUCUGGGGAUCAGGCUCCGCUGCCCAGGGUGGAGACGAGUUCUUAGUCAUCAGUGCCCAGGAGUUGUUGUCAAACAGUGUCUCCAAAUGCUCCGACAUGGACAGCUGGGGCCGAGUCAGUGGCAGCCUUGGAGUUCACCCUGAAGAAAGGGUACAGAGAAGGAGAGACAACAGCAAGGGAACUACCAGGUGCCCCCGACCCCGCAAAGAAAGAGAUAAAGUGAGACCUGGAGACCUGAUGGGACUAGAGGCGAGAUGAAGGCAGAAAGAGACCAGGAGGAAAGCCAAGCCAAGCCCAGAUGGGCCUUGCUGGCCUAGACAAUAAAGCAAGUAUGCAGGAGAUUGAGAGGAGGGGGCUAUGGAUUGGAGGGACACAGGGAGGUUCAUUUUCACAGAAGUGGAGCCGUGACUGCUGGACCUGACAGGGGACUUCAUGUGAGAUCAGACAGGUAGCACUUUGGUGGGUUAGUGGAAAGAGGGGUUCUGUGAAAGGGGGUGGGACUUUACGGAAGAUCGAAAGUGGGGUGCUCCCUGAGGGGGUCCAGCCCACCUGGUAGCCAGCAGUUUGGAGGUGAACCCAUUGGCCUUGAGGAAAAAUAAGAAAGUCCGCUGGCUGUAGUUGUACCCGCAGCUCAGGAUGCCACAGAUGGCCCUAGAAGUGGAGGUGUUGGUGAGGCCACCGCCACCUCAGGUUGAAAGUAGCUUUCAGGGCUUAAGGCCCCACUCACCCCAGGGCCACAAAAAAGAAGAUCUCUGGUAAGUCAAAGGGUAUGUCCACUGGAAAGCUGGUCUUGUAGAUGGAGGUGAUGGUCUCUGAGGACGGAAGGAAGAAAGUGGGAAUCCUGUGCCAGCCUUCCACACCCUAACCCAGGCUCAGAAUAACUCAGGCAAGGAUGGGGGUGGCUUCUGACCUAACCCCAAAUUUCCCUGGAAUUCUAGGCACCGCAGUGGCUCUCAACCUAAGAAUUUUGACUUCUUUGGGAAUCACAUAUCAGACACCCUGCGUCUCAGAUAUUUACAUUUUGAUUCAUAACAGUUACCAAGUUACGGGCUGGGGAAAUGCCUCAGCGGUUAAGAGCACUGACUGCUCUUCCAGAGGUCCUGAGUUCAAAUCCCAGCAACCACAUGGUGGCUCACAACCAUCUGUAAUGGGAUCUGAUGCCCUCUUCUAGUGUGUCUGAAGAGUACAAUGUACUCAUAUACAUAAAUAAAUCUUUUUUUAAAAAAAAAAAAA
ensembl:antisense Gm13075 predicted gene 13075